GGGGCCGUAGCUCAGUUGGGAGAGCGCUACAAUGGCAUUGUAGAGGUCAGGGGUUCGAUUCCCCUCGGCUCCACCA
rnacentral:tRNA from 26 species